GAACUUAGCAUGGUGUCUGGAAUAUGGCAUGAUAAUAAGCCAAUAAAUGUUAGCAAAAUAUCAUGAUCAUGUGGCUUUGUGACUUUAAAGCUGUUCCUGGUAGUAUCCUAGAGGCUCUCUGCCUCUAAAAGCCACCCUUUCCUCAUACUCCUUUCUGGCCCUAACUAUUAUCUGUACUUGCCAUUACACAGAGGGAAAUUGUCCCUCCAGUUUUCAGCCUCAGGUAAUACCUGGGGGUUGGUUCAGGUAGAGUCUGAGGACUGGUUUAGUAUCUCAAGACCAUAAUCUCCUGGUGACCACAACUUCCUGUCUGAGCCUGCCUCCCUGUCUGUAAUCCAUGUAAUUCUCUUCUCAUCCUUGUCGCUAAAAUGACCUUGGAUAACUUUCCCACUCUUCUUUUUUGCAUUCUGUCUCACUGUCUAAUACAAUGCCAAUUGAUUUAACUAAGAUGACAGCUUUGUCAUUUGGAAAAAAUUUUUUACAUGUUUCCAUAAUGCUCUUUCUAAAGCAAAAAGCAAUUUUGUCAUUAAAUCCUCAAAGUUCUCUUUAGUUCCAUUUCAAGAUGGCUUUCCCAGAGCCAGAUGAAACUCUUCAAAAUGACUUCUGACAGCGAUCAAAUGACAGUGUCAUUCCUGCCACCAUGUUGUUUCUAAUCUACAGAGAGAGAGUGACAGACAUUAAAGAGAGAUUUUAACUACCUUCACCAGAGAAUUGUUAAUUUUGUAAGGUUAUCAAAACCCCCCAAAUUAGCAUUUUGAAUUCUUUCUUUUAAAAUUUUCACUCUCCAACUUAACACACACUUUGGGAGCAAGGGUUAUAUUAGUUUCUUAUGUCCAAAUAAUCAAGCCUAAACAUCUGUUGACACUAAAUUGGACCACCCUAUAUUUGGUUAGUGGUAUGGCAGAGGAGCUCAUUUUUAUAUUAAAAAAACAUGUCUGAUGGUUAAUGGAUGUGAUGGUUUGUCUUUUUCUUAAACAUCUGAGAAAAUGCCUUUAUGCUACUGUUCCUUUUCAAUUUUAGCUGAUAGAAAUGUGCAAUUAAAAUUUUACUUGAGUAUUUAAAAAAUACACUUAAGAUUAGUAUCCACACAACAGACCAAGCUAUUUGGAAUUUUUCUCUUCAAGUGUUUUCUCCAUUGUUUCAUUGAUGCUGUAGGAAAAAACCUGGGCAUCUGGGUGCACCACACUUGUCUCUGCUAUCUGGCUCAGUGUAAUCUACUAAUGAAAAACUAGGCUAUGAUGGUACCACUACUUUCAUAGAAUUUCACAGAGGAAGAUUAAUAGGAUUUAUGAAUAUUACCAUCUUGUAUAGACUAGUGAAUCUUUUAUAAAUGAAUGACACUCAUCUAGAAAAAAUGUUUAACUUCAUUUUGUCUAGUAGUGUGAGUAAUGCUCAAAAGUCCCUAAUAUUUUGGAAAUCUGAUUUCAUCCAGUGAGGAGCUCUAGGGUUCUACCCAUACGCUUGUGUGUCUCAGGCUUGUGGGUUUCUGCGAAUGAAGAGAGGCAAAACAAAGGCUGCAGAACUAAGUUGGAGGUAACAUAAUAGUUAGAAACUUUUCUUUCAAGACACUAGUAGUUAGAAUGAUUAAAGAAUUUUUCUCUAUGAUUUCAUUUCACAGCAUUUCACCAUGGGUACAUAGGUAUGGUUUUUGUUGUAUUUACCCUGCUUGAGUUUUAUGACACUUCUUGAAUCUGGGCUUGAAAUUUUCCUUAUUUUUGAAAACUUCUCUGACAGUGUCUCCUCAAAUAUUGCUUCUGUCCCUUUUUUGAUGUAUGUGCCCCUGGGACUCCAAUUAUGUUCACACGUCACCUUUUCAUUGUGUCCCUAUGUCUCUUACUCUUUUUUCUAUCAUUUCUAAUCCCUUUUAUCUCUGUGCUUCAAUCUGUGUAUCCAGUGCACUAAUCUUUUCUUCAGCUGUAUCCAAUUUGAUGGAAAGGAGGCUUUUUCUGAGCAAUUGUACUACAUGUCAGGCAUUAUUCUAUGCAUUGGGGGUACAUUAGUGAGCAAAACAGACAAAAUCCUAUCCUUGUGAAACUUACGUUCUUUUGGAGGGAGACAGACUAUAAACAAAAAAUAUCAUAAAUAAGUAUACUGUGUAGUAUUUAGAAGGUGUUAACACUAUAGAAAAAUAGAGCAGGGUGAUUGUCUCAAGUCAGGCCUCAUCAAGUGGUGACAUUUGAGCAAAGGCUUCAAGGAGAUGAGAGAUUGGAUGACAAGGGGAAGGGGGAAGGCCAAUGCAAAAGACCCUAUAUUUUAACAGGAUCAUUGUGGCUGCUAUUGAGAAUAGAUUGUAGGAGACAAGACUGGGAAAAAUAGAUUAACUAGGGGCUCCUGGCUCUGACGAAAUGAUCCUGGCUCUGAGCAGGGUGGUGGCAGAAUAGGUAGUGAUAAGGGACUGGACCCUAGAAAUAUUUUGAUUGUAGGAUCAACAGGAUGUGCCAAUGGACUGGAUGUGUAAUGUGAGACAAAAAGAGAUGUCAAUGUUGACUCCAAGCUUUUUGCCAGUAGCUGAGAUGGGGAAGAGAUGUGAAGGGCAGUCAAGAGUUGCAUUUGGGCAUAGUUAUAAGACAUUCAAGUGCCGACAUAGUUAGGCAAAUCACCACACUCUUAACCGCUUUACUCAGUUUUAUUUACUCAUUGAUCUUAUUUUUUUCAUGUGUUGUUUAUUAUCUGUUUCUCCUAUUAAAGUAUGAGCUCCAAGAAAAUGGGCAUCUUUUCCAACUUGUGUACCAUUGGAUCCUAAAAUGUUGCCUGGCAAAAAGUAAAUGCUCUAUAAAUAUUUGUUGAUGAAUUAACAAAUGCAUGUAGUUUUCCAAAUUAGAAAGUAGGAAGAUGGAUAUUUGCCAUGGCUAGUUCUUCAGGGUAGUUGUGAGGGUUAUAUCAUGUAAAAACAUGUAGAUUUUUAAGCAUAAUAUAGACGGAAGUUCUCUAUAUGUCUGUGACUUUUAAAAUUAAUGUUGACAUCUCUAUGACUUGGGAAGCAGGCUGGCAUAGUGACUAAAAGCCUGGCUUUGGAGCCAGGGAGACCUCGGUUUGAAUCUCAGUAGAGCUAUUUUCUAGCUGAAUGACUUUGGGAAAAUUGCUUAAUUUCUCUGUGCCUCCCUUUCUUCUGCAACUUGGGAAUAAUAAUAUUAUCCCUACAGGUUUGCUGAGACUAUUCAAUACAAUUAUGCUCAGAAAGGGUGUGGGCGACAUAGGAAGUGCUCAAAAGUCAGUUACUGUUAUUAUUCUGUCUCCUAGUUGGUAUAAGUGACUGAAUAUUCACAGCGUUUUCAAAGGCCUCAUUUUAUCUUAUGCUGUUUUACGUCGUCUCUGCACACUUCAUGUCUUCUCCAAUGCAUUUUGUUUUUUCUGUUCAAUACCUUCACUUUUAUCAGCCUUUUCUUUCCCAAAUUAACUCCAUACGGCACAUUUUUGGAUGGUGAUAUUUUCAAAGGAUUAGUAGGAAGGAUAGUUAGGGGAAAAAGUAGCCAGAUAUGUUAGGCAGUAAAAUUGAGCAAAAGUCAGUUACCUGACUUUAAACUCAGGAUUAGGGAUUUUCAUUCCUGAACCAGUAAACAUGCUGGAAAUUUUAUCUUAAGGAGAAAGACGUCCUGGAGGUGAAGUUCUGUCCUUUUGCUUUACACGGUUACGGAUGGAAAAUCAGCAAGGUGCUACCAUAACCCAGAAGGACUGAAUGCAACAUGCAUGUUCUCCCUGUGAGUGUGUAACUUGUGACCCUCUUCAUGCUUGUUCCCAGAGGGCUGUCUCACUAACUGUCUUACACACCAGUGAUGAAGGAGUGAGCGGAGGUGAGAGGAGGAGGGCAGGAAGUGAAGGCUGAUAUACUGUCAAGGAUUAACCUGGCCUGAGCAGGGUUCUUCCCCAUUGGGAGUCUGCCUGGAAAAGCGCAUUAGAACUUUCUAGAGGAUGAGCUAUAAACCACCAGUUAUAGCUGUAUUAAACCUCUAACGACCACCUCCAGUGCCGCUUUUGUCGUUCUGAAGGGAAGUUAUUUUUGUUUAAAAUUUGGGGUAGUAAAAUCAUGCACACUGCAGUGUGUACAUGAAGCAGUAAAACGAACUUCAGCAUAUAACAACUUGGUAGAAAGUGGUGAAUAUCAGACAAAGUAUUUGGCAACUUUUAAGAAGGUGUCAGUCAUGGGGCUUUAGAAUUUAAACAAAAAAGUGCUCUGUCCUGCAAAUGGUAUUCUGGUGAACUCGCUAGUGGGAUUCUGAACAUUUCUCGGGUGCCAAGGAAGACAGGAUAUGGGGGCUGGGCCAGUACACACAGCUGGGACGAUGGUGCUCCUGGUGGGGGCUGGCUCCAGGGCUCGUGGGUCUGCCUGUCUGUCAUGUCCUGCAUGGUAAUGAAGUUGUCUAGACACAGUGAGGUCAGCUAAGGUGUGGUGGCUUUUUAUACAGCACUGCGGAGUGAUGCAACAGAUGGCAUUAUGCCAGAAGACAGAGUUCCUGCCCUGAGGCGCUGAUGCCCUCGGAGGGGGGCACAGGGAGCAGAACAAACACCAGCUUGCCCUGCGCUCAUUAAAGUCAAAAAACCUGACAGGGAAUAUGGAGAUACAAGGAGCUGAAUAUAGUCCACUUGGGAUCAAGGAUCUAUGGAUGUGCUUAGAGUUGUGUGAAGACCCUGAAAUUACGCACACUAUUUCAACCUAUGGGUCUUUCCAGGAUAGAUAUAACCCUUCCCUGGGUCAGAAAAAUCCUCUUAAGAUGUCCACAGUUAAGGCAGAUGGAAACCAGAAGCACUGAGAAACUGUGGGAGCUUGACACUGGAGAAAGUUGUUUGGGGCCUGAGAUGUUGGAAUAAGUUCCAUACAAGCCAAAAAAGAUUCAAGACAAAUUAGAAAGCUGUUUAUUUUGAACUAAGCCAUAAUUGGUGGAGAUUUGCUGAGACAUCCAAUUUACCUAUUUGCAUUGCUAUAUAUUAUUUAACCCUAGUACUCCUUAAUAUCAAUGCUUAAUUGUUAAUAUUAAUUACUCCUGUUUUUAUUUUAAAUGUAUAAGUUAGUUGGAAAGCAU